rnacentral:rRNA from 1 species
CGGAGCCGCAGCGAAAGCGAGUCUGAAUAGGGCGUUUAGUACGUGGUCGUAGACCCGAAACCAGGUGAUCUACCCAUGUCCAGGGUGAAGUUCAGGUAACACUGAAUGGAGGCCCGAACCCACGCACGUUGAAAAGUGCGGGGAUGAGGUGUGGGUAGCGGAGAAAUUCCAAUCGAACCUGGAGAUAGCUGGUUCUCCCCGAAAUAGCUUUAGGGCUAGCCUUAAGUGUAAGAGUCUUGGAGGUAGAGCACUGAUUGAACUAGGGGUCCUCAUCGGAUUACCGAAUUCAGUCAAACUCCGAAUGCCAAUGACUUAUCCUUAGGAGUCAGACUGCGAGUGAUAAGAUCCGUAGUCAAGAGGGAAACAGCCCAGAUCGCCAGCUAAGGUCCCAAAGUGUGUAUUAAGUGGAAAAGGAUGUGGAGUUGCUUAGACAACUAGGAUGUUGGCUUAGAAGCAGCCACCAUUUAAAGAGUGCGUAAUAGCUCACUAGUCGAGUGACUCUGCGCCGAAAAUGUACCGGGGCUAAAUACACCACCGAAGCUGCGAAUUGAUACCAAUGGUAUCAGUGGUAGGGGAGCGUUCUAAGUGCAGUGAAGUCAGACCGGAAGGACUGGUGGAGCGCUUAGAAGUGAGAAUGCCGGUAUGAGUAGCGAAAGACGGGUGAGAAUCCCGUCCACCGAAUGCCUAAGGUUUCCUGAGGAAGGCUCGUCCGCUCAGGGUUAGUCAGGACCUAAGCCGAGGCCGACAGGCGUAGGCGAUGGACAACAGGUUGAUAUUCCUGUACCACCUCUUUAUCGUUUGAGCAAUGGAGGGACGCAGAAGGAUAGAAGAAGCGUGCGAUUGGUUGUGCACGUCCAAGCAGUUAGGCUGAUAAGUAGGCAAAUCCGCUUAUCGUGAAGGCUGAGCUGUGAUGGGGAAGCUCCUUAUGGAGCGAAGUCUUUGAUUCCCCGCUGCCAAGAAAAGCUUCUAGCGAGAUAAAAGGUGCCUGUACCGCAAACCGACACAGGUAGGCGAGGAGAGAAUCCUAAGGUGUGCGAGAGAACUCUGGUUAAGGAACUCGGCAAAAUGACCCCGUAACUUCGGGAGAAGGGGUGCUUUCUUAACGGAAAGCCGCAGUGAAUAGGCCCAAGCGACUGUUUAGCAAAAACACAGGUCUCUGCGAAGCCGUAAGGCGAAGUAUAGGGGCUGACACCUGCCCGGUGCUGGAAGGUUAAGGAGAGGGGUUAGCGUAAGCGAAGCUCUGAACUGAAGCCCCAGUAAACGGCGGCCGUAACUAUAACGGUCCUAAGGUAGCGAAAUUCCUUGUCGGGUAAGUUCCGACCCGCACGAAAGGUGUAACGAUUUGGGCACUGUCUCAACCAGAGACUCGGUGAAAUUAUAGUACCUGUGAAGAUGCAGGUUACCCGCGACAGGACGGAAAGACCCCGUGGAGCUUUACUGUAGCCUGAUAUUGAAUUUUGGUACAGUUUGUACAGGAUAGGCGGGAGCCAUUGAAACCGGAGCGCUAGCUUCGGUGGAGGCGCUGGUGGGAUACCGCCCUGACUGUAUUGAAAUUCUAACCUACGGGUCUUAUCGACCCGGGAGACAGUGUCAGGUGGGCAGUUUGACUGGGGCGGUCGCCUCCUAAAGUGUAACGGAGGCGCCCAAAGGUUCCCUCAGAAUGGUUGGAAAUCAUUCGUAGAGUGCAAAGGCAUAAGGGAGCUUGACUGCGAGACCUACAAGUCGAGCAGGGACGAAAGUCGGGCUUAGUGAUCCGGUGGUUCCGCAUGGAAGGGCCAUCGCUCAACGGAUAAAAGCUACCCCGGGGAUAACAGGCUUAUCUCCCCCAAGAGUCCACAUCGACGGGGAGGUUUGGCACCUCGAUGUCGGCUCAUCGCAUCCUGGGGCUGUAGUCGGUCCCAAGGGUUGGGCUGUUCGCCCAUUAAAGCGGUACGCGAGCUGGGUUCAGAACGUCGUGAGACAGUUCGGUCCCUAUCCGUCGUGGGCGUAGGAAAUUUGAGAGGAGCUGUCCUUAGUACGAGAGGACCGGGAUGGACGCACCGCUGGUGUACCAGUUGUUCUGCCAAGGGCAUAGCUGGGUAGCUAUGUGCGGAAGGGAUAAGUGCUGAAAGCAUCUAAGCAUGAAGCCCCCCUCAAGAUGAGAUUUCCCAUAGCGUAAGCUAGUAAGAUCCCUGAAAGAUGAUCAGGUUGAUAGGUU